rnacentral:rRNA from 1 species
CUCGUAGGCGGUUCGUCGCGUCCGGUGUGAAAGUCCAUCGCUUAACGGUGGAUCCGCGCCGGGUACGGGCGGGCUUGAGUGCGGUAGGGGAGACUGGAAUUCCCGGUGUAACGGUGGAAUGUGUAGAUAUCGGGAAGAACACCAAUGGCGAAGGCAGGUCUCUGGGCCGUUACUGACGCUGAGGAGCGGAAGCGUGGGGAGCGAACA